AUGGAAAGAAAGAGAAGCAAAGCACGGAAGAAAAGAGACGUAAAAGAGCAAUAAAGGAUACAUAUUUCUCUCUUUCUCUUUCUUAACUUUUCUCUCUCUCUCUCUUUCUCUCUCUCUUUCUC
rnacentral:ribozyme from 12 species